CUGAAAAUAACUUAGAGAAAGAGAAACCAGAGUGCUGUGUUUGGUAGCAACAAGUCUGUCAGCGGGGUCUGAGAGACAGAGAGAGAGAGAGAGAGAGAGAGAGAGAGAGAGGUGUCAGUAUGGAAAAGAUUAGGCCAAAGAGGCAGAAAUGCCAGGAGCCUCCAAAAUCUGACUGCCCGCUGUAGUUUCAGCAUAUAAAAGUCAAAGUCACCAAAACGUUUAAGCCAGAGUCUGCUAACCGAAUGUGACUGAGGCGGGAGUCUCAAUCGACAGAGGUUGAUUUAACCAGAGUUUGGGGAUGUGCCCAGGAAAAUCAUGAGUUACAGGACUAUCUGUGAUCUCAGCUUUCCAAAGACGGUUGUGGAGACUCAGUAUUUAAAGGGAAAACAAAAACAAAAACAAAAAACAAAAAACCCAGCAGGAAGGAAGGGAGGGAGGGCAGGCACUAAGACAAACGGCUCCACUUCCUUGUGAGCUAUUCAUGACAGAGGCCGUGUGAGAACCUGCCUGAUGGAUGAGGCUGUGACACAGGGUCGUGAAAUUGCCGCUGUCUGUCUAGGAACAAAAGAAAGGUAGUAUUGUGUGACUCACUUCACAGGCGCAACUUUCCCUUUGGCACACUGAGUUUGGGGGUCCCAAGAUUUUAUUUUCUUCUACAAGACUAAUUUGCACCUUCUGCACCACAUGUAUGCUAAGUGCUGGAUGAAUAACACAGGGCCUCUAACGGAUUCUGAACAGAGAAAGGCUCAUACUUUAUGACAAGGACUAGAAAUAAAUUAACAGGAUACAGAGCCAGAGCACGGCAGGGAGGCACUGUGAGAUAGGAAAAUGAGAGGUCAUUUUGCUGAGCCCUAGAUGACAUCUGCAGGAGGCAGGAGCUGACUGUGGGUUCUGAGGCAGGUGACCGGCCAGCAGGGCUGUGGACUCUAAGGCAGGUGACCAGCCAUGGCUGUGGGGUCUGGGGCAGGUGGCUAGCCACCGGCAGCACAGCAGGGCUGGAGGCAGACGUGGCUGUCGUCUGUUUGCUAAUUCUAACUGCUUUGUGGAGAGUAGAUUGGAGUCAGGCAAGCAACCAAGAAAAACGGUCAGUGCGGCCCACUCGAGAGAUGCCUUGGCCCAGCAGGGCUGUGAGAAUGGGGGCGUGGGUGGUGGACCUGAGCCCUGGGGCCUCUUGGCCGUUUCCUCAUUUCAGAUGGGCUACUCAAGAGACAGAAGCCAAAUAGAUUAGAUAGACACUGCCGCCCAGGCCCAGGAUCUCCCUAGAGACACCGUCCUCUCCUUUUCUCCGCCAGCUGGCCAGGCCGGUCAGCGAGACCAGACUCGUUUCUGCUGGCUGAGGCUUGGCCGCACCCUAAAUGUGCAGAGUGCCAGCCCGAUGUAGGGGGGGCGGUGAACAGGGUGGACUGGGCCUCCAGUGCCAUCCCCUGCACCCCGUCUCUGCCCGCUCCCUGCCCUUCAGGGCAACUGGACCCCACCCUGCAAGCUAAUCCCUCCAGCUCUCCUCAUUUACACCAAGCACGUGGCUGGGGAACUGCGGAGCAUGAAGAGGGAGGAGUUGGACAGUUUGCCGCUCUCUCGACCUUCCCUCUCCCCCAGCCCCAGCCUGUGGCCUGCAGCCCUGCUGGUGCUCAACUUCCCUGGGCACCGUCCUCCCCUCCAACGGCUGCGGAACCGCCUCUAACUGCCUGCACGUCCAACUGCCACCAGCAACUGCCCCUGCAACUGCCACUGACUCAGAACCUCCUCGGGGUUCUUGCUGCGAUCCAAGCUGUGCUCAGCCGCUCCACCCAUCUUUUUCUUCUUACUCUCCUUGAGCUCUCCGGUCUCAGCCCAGACCUCGCGGGUUCUCUGAAGGUUUCUAACUGGGGCUGAGGGCUGGCGGUUAUCUUCACGUGCGGAUCUUGAGCUUCCUCAACACCCAAGCCUUUUGAAGACCCACGGAAAUAUGCUGUCAAAAACAGCUCAGGACCACACGAUAGUCUUUCUUAAGAAUAUUUUGCUAUGGAAGCAGAAAAUCAAGUAUCACACAUUCUCACAUAAAGGUGCUCUGAAGCCAGCUCUGCCCUGGAUGGCUGCCCUCUCCCUGCCGAGCUCACCGGGCCUCCUGCUGGCCUGGGUCCUCUUGUCAUUUGAUAUAUCAUUUCAUCCUCCCCCCGGAUACCACACUCUCUCUUCUUCAUAGCCAAAUUUCUUGAAAAUUUUGCUAACUGUUAGGCGCCAGGAGUUUAUUUUAUCACUUUGAGACGUCGCUCUAAGCAGCUCAUUCUAAGGCUCUGUUUACGCUCUUUGUAUUGUCAAGCUCUGUAAUACACGAUGGCGCUACGAAGACAAAUUUAGACACCACACCUUUAAGGAAUUCAGGGGAACCUAGGCAAAGUGCUCUGUGAAAACACAGAAGGAAGCAACCAGCAGCCUAGAAAGGUCUGGAGGGCGUCCUCUAAAGAAAAGGGGCUUGAGUUAAAUUGGGUAGAUGAAGAGGAAGUCCCCAAGACAGAAAAUGGGAAAGACAACAAUGAUGGCUUUCAUUGUGAAGACGGCGGAGUGUCUGUCAGAGAGCAAGGCCGAGAUCACGGCUGGCUUCAGAAGGGCCUGGAGCCGCCACCUGGAAACCCCCAGCACUGUCCAGGUCUUGACUCUGCUCCUCUCUGAGCACGCGUGUCCUUCUUUUCUCUCCGUGACCGGCGUCCCCUGACGCCCCUGGGCUGCCCCACAGCUCCCACACACCAAAACAGAGGGGCACUGGCUUUCGUGAUACUAACUCUUGUACAUAGAAGGAUUCACCUACAGUCCAGGCUCCACCCUGACCCGAUUAAGUAUGGCUAAAGGGAUGGAGUCAGCACACACACGCCAGCCAGGCCCACGCUGGUAGAGGGGUAUUGUGGCCUCCAAGUGAGGCAGGCAGUGGGCUGAGCCCCAGCCAUCAGAGAUGAUGGAUAACAGGCUGGAGCUACUACCACAGAGCAGGUUUUGAUUUUGAGUCUUUGACCCUGUAAUAAGCAAUCUCUGAACCGGGAGAAACAAACUCCCUCUUGGGUCUUUGCCACUAGGCUCUCUGGGAACCACUACAGUAAGAAUGAGCGUGUAUCUGGGCAGAUCCGGAGGCUCGGCCCUGCCUGCCUGCUCCUGGGCGUCUGGCUUGAUGUCUGGGUCCAGACGUGGGGGGCAAGGGAGAGCUUUUGCCUUGGCCCCUGAAGGUUCUCUGAAAAAUAACUGACACACGGCAGAUUGAUUAAUAGGAUAAAAUGCAUACAAAUUUAUUUAACGUGUAUCCACAGGAGCCUUCAGAAUGAAGUCCCAACACCCCCCCCCCCCCCCCCGGUAAGGUACAGAAGUUUCUAGACCAUCUUGAGGUUAUAGAAAGAAUGCGGGCUCAGAGCAUGGCCGAAACCAGGUUUUGGAGACAGGACAGGUUAUGGCCAGCAGAGCUGGUCUAGAUGAAGCCCCUCAUAAUAUAGCCCCAGAGGAAAUAGAUGGUAAACGUUUCCUUUCAGACCUUUGGAAGUGUCAGAGUCUCAGUCUCCCUUAGACUGGGGAAAGGCCUAGAAACGGAAGGCCCGACUGCAACAACGUAGAUUCUGUACAGAGGCAAGUUUCUCCCACAAGACAGGUUUGCGGGGCCAUUUCAGUCUGCUGGCCCUACAGCAGCCAUUUCAAAAGAAGUCAAAGAAAUAUAUUUUGGGGUAAAAUAUUUCGACUUUCUUCAAUGAUCCAUCACUCAUUUGGUGGUGCUGUUGUUCCCAGGACUAGGAACCCUCCCAAACCCUUCCUAACGCCACCUCCCUACAGGGAGCUGCCGCCGUGAACAGAGGCUCCCAUGCUGGCCAAAGCCGUGCCGGGCUUCCGCAGAGAGCGCUGCCGGGAAUCUCCCUCAGCCAUUUCCAACACUGGAUGGGUGCUCUGCCCUGGACAGCUGCCAGGAUGUUGCCAAAGCCUGCCACACCCAGUGGACCCACCGUGUUUCUGAUGCAGACGACCCUGUUUCUGUCCUGGAGUCAGGCGGCACCAAACUGUGCAGCUGCUUUUCCUAUACUUUUAGGGAGUGGGGCUCCACCUGGCUCCUUUCCCCAUGCAUGGAAGGGCGCAUUCCUAAAACUGAAGCCUAUCUGAAUUACCACAACCCCCCGACACAUAGGUACUCCAGGUAAAACUGUAGGCUUUACACACGCCACAUAUUGUAAUGGGUACUGACCCCCAACACAUUAGAGUGGGUGCCCAUGGGAUAAAUGGGAGUGGGGGCUAGGCAUAAAGCAGGAAAGAUGAGAAAUGAGGUGCAGGGGUCUUGCACAGACCAGGGAUGAUAAUGGGCCAAGAACCAAAGAGUAUGAAUAAUUCAGCCUCAUCUUCCUGGGGCUACCCCAGCAGAGGUGUUGUCUCUGCUCUGACUAUAUCCUACAUAGGUCUGUCCCCAGCUUCUGCAACCUUCUGAGACUAUGCUAAGAAGCCCCUUCAGCUAAGGAGGCCUUUGCGCUGAGAGGUGGCAGUACCUGGGAACGUUUGGUCCCGUGAGCAGCCCACAGCCGGUAGUGAUGACCAAGGGGUGCAGGUGUCGGAAAGCCCUGCACCAGGACUGCAGAGGAACUUGGGCCCCAGGGCUCCCCAAGGACCCGCGGCAGCUGACCCUGCACUUGUAUCAACUUCCUGGCGUGGCUCCUUCCCAACUGGUGUCACCUACUCUCUGAUUUCUCCUGGGGGAACUUCCUUAACAUAUCAUUUGCACCUAAGACUGUCUCUGGUGUGCUUCUGAGAAAAGCCACCUAAAACUAUUUCCAGGAUGAAAAAAAAACACUAACAUUUUUUUAUGCAUGCGAAGAAUAAAAUGUACUUUCCUGCAACUCCAUUUAGAUUUAGAGACCUCACCUCUCCCACACUGAAUGAACUGCUCAGCCAGUUACAGGUCUGUUCCCAGUGGAAUGCUGGCAAGCCAGGAUCUCCAGGGAGGACAAGAGGAGAAAAGAAAAAGCUCUUAUUUCUAAUAUUUCCUAAUUUUCAUGAUGUAAAUACUCCCACCUGUGGCCAAUCCCAAGCUACAAAUAUGAUGUCCCUGCACUGGGGCAGGGUGGCGUAGAAAAGGUUGCAAAUGCCAGGCCCUCGCAAGCCCGGGGAGCCUGCCAUAGCAUAGCACCUUCCCUCGCCAGCCCCUCCCUGGGAAUUUGUCAGAGCUGCUGUGAGCCGUGAUGCUGGCUGUGAUGACCGUCCAUUUCGAGUCCCCUGCCCACAGGGCCUUUCCUCAUGCGUGGCCACGUGGCCCCUCAGGUCUGAUGGCGCUGUCUGCUACUUCCAAGACACAUGGGCUGUCAGUGACUCUGUUUUCAAACUGCAGCAGGAGCUCGGAGACUUGUCCCUCUGGGUCUUGCUGCAGUGCUGGUGUUGCACCCAGGAAGCAGGGCAUGUCACCUUCUUCCUCUCCUUCCCCACACUUGGAGAAUCUGCUCUGGGGAUGGGUGGCCAGAUAGGGUGGGGGAUGCCCCACUUUCCUUGUGAAUGCUUCUCAGCUCUCUCUUCUCAGCACUUCGCCCAGUCACUUCUUCCUUUGAGGGAGACCAUGAUUAAAAUAACUUUCAUUCAUUCACUGCUAGACACUCGGGUUUACAGUGAAUUAGAAAAACAAGCUUCCUACCUCCAAGGAGCUUGGGUUUAGUUCCUGUUCCCUGUUCAAGAGUUUCAGCCAUGCUAAAAAGUCACUCACUGCUUGGGAAAGCAUUCCAGGCAGAGAAGAGGGCAAUUGCAAAGGCACAGAGGCAGAAACCGACCUGGUAUUUAAGGAAAAGAAAGAAAGCCUGAGAGAGCAACAGAGACAUUUUACAAGGUUAGUGGCAGAGUGGCAUGAAUCAGAGAGGGGCAGAACCAGAGCUGCAGGGUGCGCAGUCCGGGGAGAGGAGGCAGGGCUGUCAUUCCAACUGCAAGGGGAAACGAAGGUUUAGAAGAUGUAUCAUUUGGAUCAAGUUCCUACAGAAAAUGAAGUGCAACAAGGUAGCCAUUUGAACAAGGGUUGAGGGAAUGGAGACAGCACUGGAAGUAUGUGAGCUGCAGACUGAAGGUGGAAGUGACAGGACUUGAUCACUGAGUGAACGUGGAGCAAGAGAAAGAGACAGGAAGCGUCCCAGUUAUUUGGCUUGAGCCCUGGAUGGGCCGUGGCGUCUUUCUCUGAGUCGGGGAAGAGAGGAAAUGGAAUUGAGUUGGUGGAGGGAGUAUGAAUCCACUUUGCACAGGUUAAAGCAAGAGGCCCACUAAACACCCAAAAGGAGAUGUCAAUUAAGUAUAGGAGCCUGGAACCCAGGGGAAGAAAUGAGGACUACAGAUGGAAACCUGGGGUCACCAACAUGUGGGCGGAGUGUCUUUUACAAAGCAGAAGGAGUAAAGAAAGAGAAAUCCACAGCAGCAGAAAAUAGAGGAUGCUCUCUAACACAAGAGUGACACCACACUCAGCAACGGCUCUUCUUGGUAUUUACCAAAAUGAGCUGGAAAGCCAUGUCUACACACAAACCCUCACACAAUGUUACAGCAACUUUAUUCAUAAUCGCCAAAAUAGGGAGGCAAUCAAGAUGCCCUUCAUAGGUGAAUGGCAAACUGUGGUACAUCCAAAUAAUGGAAUAUUACUCAGCUCUAAAAGAAAUGAGCUAUCAAACCAUGAAAAGACAUGGGGGAACUUUAAAUGCAUAUUGUUGAAUGAAAGAAGUCACUCUGAAAAGGCCACACACUGUAUGGAACCAAUUCUAUGACCUUCUGGAAAAGGCAAACCUGUGGAGACAGUAAAGGAAAAAAAAAAUGGAAAUGGAGUGAAAAUAUCUAGGCUGAGGCCAUUUCCUUGUGAAGAGAGAGCCCCAACAAUUUCCAACAAGCUAACAGGCGGAGGGCACCACCCAUCCAGGUGGGUGCAGACGGAAACCGAGAGCCACUUCUGAAAGAAGACAAAAUUGAUCAUGCAAAUGUGUUUGAAUGUGAUCAGAGGAGAUUCUUAUGCUGGUGGAGGGAGGGGGGCAGAAUGUGGAGUGGAAUUAGUAAUAAGAACAUAGAAAACCAGUAUAGACGAAAGGGAUUACUUACUCAGAGGAAACGUAAAAGCAUGUAGAAGUGGAAAAGCGAUUCUGUUUUACUAACUGACUGGUAAAUGUGAUUUAACUAGUCAUAAUAAAUACCAAAUGGUGAUCUAACUAAGUUUCAGUGACACUCUCUUGGGAUUUCUAAGAGGGCAUGACAAGGGAGUGUGAUGUGAAGGGUCGGGUUUGGCAUGGAGGGUGAGCAAGAGGUGAUAACGGGAGCUGAAUUCCCAUAUUCCCUAAUGGGAGGCCCAAAGAUUAUGCCUGAAAUGAAAUGAUCAAGAUGUAGGAAUGUCAACACGGAAAUCAAAAGAAUAAGAUAAUUUUUUUAAAAAAGAAGAGCUAAGAAAGUUGAAAUUGGUUGCUUCCUGAGAGUAAGAAAUGGGUGGAAAGACUGGCAGAGGAAAGCUAGUUUCUCAUACACAUUAGAGAAUAAUUUGACUCUAAAUGAUAUGUAUAUAACUUUGAGGAAAAUAAAACUAAACAAAAAGAGAAGUUUCUGAGAGAUGAUGUGUCAGACACAGCACUAUAGCUGAUAAGCACUGGUAUCUACUGAGUACCUAGUGUGUGCUGGGGCAAUGUUCUAGGCACUAGAAAUACACCAGUGAGCGGUCAGACACACACACACACACACCCCCUUCCAAACACAUACAUGCCCAUAGGUUAUUCAGCAGCACACCAUGUGUAGCGUGAGUCAUGACAUUGGGUGCUCACAGCAGGAGGCUGGUGUGAGAUGCGAAGUGACCAGAAUGGGAGCCAAGAGAUCUGAAAAUUGUGAGAUGCCUCAGGCUUCAUCAGCUUGUCCAAAUGCUGCUUCUCUGUUUCGGUUGUUAAAUAAUUAUUUUCAUCACACCCAUGGUAUUUAAAAAAUAUUCACAGUUCACUGUUUAUGCAGUUAAAUUUCCUAGUAAUUCAGUUAAUAGCUAAUUUUCUGAGUACUGUGCUAAAGUAUCUCCCUGAGCAAUUUACCAUGAUAAUCUUGGAUUAGAUAAAUGAAAUUACCAGAAAAUGUCUCAUGUAAAUUUCAUUUUUUGCAAUAUUUUACCAAUCAUUAAAGGAACACAUAGUUAUUAA